UACGGAGGGUGUAAGCAUUAAUCGGAAUUAUUGGGCGUAAAGGGCGCGUAGGCGGAUUUAUAAGUCAGAUGUGAAAUUCCGGGGCUCAACCUCGGAGCUGCAUUUGAAACUGUGAAUCUAGAGGGAUGGCGGAGAAAAUGGAAUUCCACGUGUAGCGGUGAAAUGCGUAGAUAUGUGGAAGAACAUCUGUGGCGAAAGCGGUUUUCUAGCUAUUACCUGACGCUGAGGCGCGAGAGCAAGGGGAGCAAACAGG
rnacentral:rRNA from 1 species